GGGUGUGAGGGCGAUCUGGCUGCGAAUGUGUCAACCCAUUGAUCGCCAGGGUUGAUUCGGCUGAUCUGGCUGGCUAGGCGGGUGUCCCCUUCCUCCCUCACCACUCCAUGUGCGUCCCUCCUGAAGCUGCGCGCUCGGUCGAAGAGGACGACCAUCCCCGAUAGAGGAGGACUGGUCUUCGGUCAAGGGUAUACGAGUAGCUGCACUCCCCUGCUAGAACCUCCAAACAAGUUCUAAAGGGAGCAGGGGUAUGAGCCAGAGUAGCGGAGCAGGUAGUUU
rnacentral:snRNA from 1 species